GAGAAUAAAUAGGGGGAGAUAAGAUUCAUUGAGGUUUGGAUAGGAGAUAUAUUAAGCCAAUAGGGCAGGAAAUUACAUAGAAAAAUACGUUUCAGUUCUUAGGGGUGGUUAAUUACGGUAGAUAAGGCAUCUCAAACUAUGAAACAUAUAUUCAAUUAUUGAUGUGACUGAUUUUUAAGGUUAACCCAUGUUAUUUUUAGAAAAAAUACAGUGGAUUCCCUAAGGAGAGUUUCAUUAACACUGUAAAGAGAUAGAAUAUGUUUAGCAUUCGUUUUAAUUAAACAUUCAGAACAUUUUUAUUUAAAUAGUAUUAAAGUUUGUUAGGACUUUAGAGAUUGCCACUUAUAAAAUCAAUGAUUUUAGAUAAAGUCAAACAGUGAGACGCUUAGCACAAAUACUUCUUAAACUAGAUAAGACAUUUGCCAGAGAAUUGAAACAGGAUUGAUAUGAAUGGAUGCCCAAGGGAAAAUUGGACAUACAUGAUAAUGUAAGAAUAUAAGGAUAAUUUACAAAUCCUACCUAAGUCAUUAUUUAGGGUAUAUAAGGUUGUUACCUGGGCAGAGUCAGGUAUCAAAAGGGGGAUGGGUAAGUUAGUGGCCUAUUGGAUAAUAAACUAAUAAUAAAAAUAAUAAAAAAAUGUUUAGCUAACAAAUAGGCAUAGAAGUUAAAGAUAUAAUCAGAUAAAACAUGUUAGAAACUGUUAACCAAGCCUGUAUGUCCAGGAUUUUAUGCAUUACAGGUGAACUACAGGUGAAGUCACUCAGUCCAGUCCCUGAGGCUUGUUGGGGGGACCAUACCAAGGACUCCUGGUGACAGCUAGCUGAAAGAGCUACCCGGAUUCAUAUCACACGGCGGGAGGGUUCCUCCCUUUACAGUGACCGGAGGAGAUUAUUACCGUUUGGCCCGGUACACUACUCUUGGGAAAUGAUGUCAGGGCGAGGUUUUACCGGCAGAUUGGACAGCAUUAUGCUCCCUUGUACAUUUGGGAAUGCCUUUCACACUCAUUCAACACCAAGACAUGAAGUUUAGCCAAACGGGCGAAAAGUGCUACUCCAUCUGGGUCUUUUGAUGACAAAGUAUACAUUGAUAACAUUGGGGUUUCCACGGGGGGUGCCAGAUGAGUUCAAAGCAAGAAAUCAGAUCCUAGCAGGAUUAGAGUUAAGCAUUUCCGGGUGGUCUACUCUCAAUAAGAACGUGGACUGGAUUAAUUAUAUGGAUUAUAAUCAACAGCGUUUUACCAAUUGUACCAGAGAUGCUUCUAAAGGUUUGGCAGAACAGACUGAAUCAACCAGCCCGAUGGCUUGGCAGAAUAUAAUUGCAUUAGAUAUGUUAUCGGCUGAAAAGGGAGGAGUAUGCGUGAUUUUUGGGACCAUGUUUGUGCUUACAUCCCAAAUAACACUGCUCCGGACGAAUCAGUGACCGAAGCCUCAGCCACCCUGGCUCACGGUUUGGCAGAAAACUCUGGGGUGGAUACUUUUCUGACUAAUUGGUUUGAUAGUACGUUUGGAAAAUGUAAAAAUAUUAUGAUCACUGUAUUAUGAGCUACAUUCACCUGUGUGACUGUUUUAGUUUUAUGGGGCUGUUUAAUUCCCUGUGUACGCGGUCUUAUUUCCAGGACUCUGGAGAAAUCGAUGAAAAUAGAUGGUGAGGUACGGGCCGAUUCCAGGCUCUGACCUGUGGAGUGCUGAAUGCAUGUCUACAGAACAAGUGGAUCCUUCAUUUGCGGGGAAUUUAUAUUUGAUGAGACCAUUUUUGAUGUUUAGGGAGGUUAGGUUGUAUCUUGUUUCAAUAUUAGACUGUUGUUUUAUGAAGAUGUUAACGAAAAUACUGAUAAGAAGAGUUAUGAUUCUGAUGUAGGCCUAAAAAACAGUCAGUGCGAAUGCCAGUAGUGGGUUAUGUUUAGGUGAUGUUUUGAUGACAAGAAAUAUCUCUAAUAAAAAUAGAAAUAGGCUUUUUAAUAUUACAAUAUAACUACAUGUGUGAUUGGAUGUCUAAUAUUUAAUCAAAGGGUGGAUAUGUUAAGGGAAUUUUUAUCAAUGAUCACUAAUUAUGUAUACAUUUCAAUCAGGACUGACUAAUCAGAAUACUAUUAUGUUACUGUAUAUGUACUAAUCCGAAUACUUUUAUGUUACUGUAUAUGUACUAAUCAGAAUACUAUUAUGUUGCUGAGUUUUCUUUCUUGAUCCCAGUACUGAAUAUAAUGUGUGUGAAUGUGGUCAAGAGGUAGAACAAUGACUGUCUGUUCCUUGGUAGGAAUGAAUGAACGAUAUCUUCAGACUGUCUAGAAUGCUUAUCUAUACCGGAAAAUCUUGGCUCAGUCGUAAAUUAUAUUAAAUUGGUAGUGAGACGGAUGUGGGAAGGCUUGAGAUACAGCCUUUGUACUGUAACGGAGAUGGCACGGGUUGGUGUUGAAACUAAUGAUGUCAUUUUCAGUUUAUAACCUGUGGUAAACUUUAUCGUAUUCAGUACUCUCGUGAAUAAACUCUGGUGAUUGACUUUAA